rnacentral:sRNA from 1 species
CCAGAUCCAGUUUUCUCAGUUUGACUUUAGAAGGUUUCGGCCAUCCCUGAUUUGAAGGAAAAGGGAAACUUAGGAUAAAGCUAUAACCUGGGGAACUGUGUUCUCUUUUUUACAGAAAGACUUUUUAUCCAUCGAGCUGUUUCACGGCAGAGUGAAGGUUAUGACUGACCUGGGUUCAGGACCCCUUACCCUUUUGACAGACAGACGUUAUAACAAUGGAACCUGGUACAAAAUUGCCUUCCAGCGAAACCGGAAGCAAGGAGUCCUAGCAGUUAUCGAUGCCUAUAACACCAGUAAUAAAGAAACCAAGCAGGGUGAGACUCCGGGAGCAUCUUCUGACCUCAACCGCCUAGACAAGGACCCGAUUUAUGUGGGUGGAUUACCAAGGUCAAGAGUUGUAAGAACAUCUAAAUCCUGUUACUGUGCAAUAUUUGGAGACCCUACUUGCUGUCAUACUUCAUCUCCCUCUCUAGACAUUUUAGAGAAGUAGAUCUCUUUUAAAGCAAAAAGAAAAAAAAAAAAAGAAAUCAUGCUCUCUGCAGAGUUUUCUGGAUUCUCCUUUGUGUGGUUAGACUGAAUGAUGUAUGUGCAAGCUGAAAGACUAGCAUCAAGAAGUGGAAUGAAAUGGCACAGGACACACAAUGGAAUCCUUG